rnacentral:sRNA from 1 species
ACCUGUGUGUUCCUGUCUGUGUAUGUGCACAUCCCAUAAGUGUGAGGGGUAUGUCUGUAUGUUUUGUGGAGUAUAAAAGCAGGGUGAGCUAGAGCUUUGCAGUGCCUGCUGUGGAUCAGAGAUCAAGCUAUGGUCUAGGAACCUAUAGAAUUUAAGGACUGGGGUCCCAGGCAAGGCUUUCAGGGGCUCCGGGCUGGGUCCUUUUUGCCUCCUUUCCUUUCACUGUUCUGGGACCCUCUUCUGCAUCUCUCCACUCUACGCACAAUUUCUCCUUUCCCUCUCACCCCUGAUGACUUCAGAUGAGAUUGUGUGGCCUGAGGGUGAUGAUGCACUGCCCCCAGACGCCCAGGACCUCACCUCCAAACUGCUCCACCAGAACCCUCUGGAGAGACUGGGCACAGGCAGUGCCUAUGAGGUGAAGCAGCACCCAUUCUUUACUGGUCUGGACUGGACAGGACUUCUCCGCCAGAAGGCUGAAUUUAUUCCUCAGUUGGAGUCAGAGGACGAUACUAGCUAUUUUGACACCCGCUCAGAGCGAUACCACCACAUGGACUCGGAGGAUGAGGAAGAAGUGAGUGAGGAUGGCUGCCUUGAGAUCCGCCAGUUCUCUUCCUGCUCUCCAAGGUUCAGCAAGGUGUGACUGAGGAGGCCCAGAAUGGGCAGAACAGGCUGGAGGAUUAGAAGAAGAGGGCCUGUCAAAGGGCACUCCUGGGGCAGGCUCAGGGAGUUGGGGUUGGGGCCACCUCUAGAAAAAGAGGAGCCAAGGGCUGGGGCUACAUAUAGCUAUAUAUAGGUGCUUCUAGAACCACUGCAGUCCCUGACAUGAGAUGCCAGGUCAGAUCAAUGGAAUAACCGCUUCCCCAAAUAUUCAGCAGGGGUGUGUGGAAGAGGGAAGGAG